CGCGGCCUAUCAGCUUGUUGGUGAGGUAACGGCUCACCAAGGCGACGACGGGUAGCCGGCCUGAGAGGGUGACCGGCCACACUGGAACUGAGACACGGUCCAGACCCCUACGGGAGGCAGCAGUGGGGAAUAUUGCACAAUGGGCGCAAGCCUGAUGCAGCAACGCCGCGUGAGGGAUGAAGGCCUUCGGGUUGUAAACCUCUUUUAGCAGGGAAGAAGCGAAAGUGACGGUACCUGCAGAAAAAGCACCGGCUAACUACGUGCCAGCAGCCGCGGUAAUACGUAGGGUGCAAGCGUUGUCCGGAAUUAUUGGGCGUAAAGAGCUCGUAGGCGGUUUGUCGCGUCUGCUGUGAAAACUGGAAGCUCAACUUCCAGCCUGCAGUGGGUACGGGCAGACUAGAGUGCGGUAGGGGAGAACGGAAUUCCUGGUGUAGCGGUGGAAUGCGCAGAUAUCAGGAGGAACACCGAUGGCGAAGGCAGUUCUCUGGGCCGUUACUGACGCUGAGGAGCGAAAGCGUGGGGAGCGAACAGGAUUAGAUACCCUGGUAGUCCACGCCGUAAACGGUGGGUGCUAGCUGUGGGCCACAUUCCACGUGGUCCGUGACGAAGUUAACACAUUAAGCACCCCGCCUGGGGAGUACGG
rnacentral:rRNA from 1 species